UCUUUUAAAGACAGUCUUCCAGGUGAUGCUGAGACUGUUUAGUCCUCGUAAGACCACUCUACUAUUUGUUAUACGAGAUAAAACAAGGAUCUCCUGGUGCCUUAUCAAAGGGAUGAAAAGAUUGGACUUUUUGAUGGAGCUGGUGUGGGAAGACUGGAUUUAUUAUGGAAUUGAUGAUCAACAAUGUUGGAAAAGGGUGACAUGGAAGAAUCAACAAGUGAGAAAGAGGAGUCCAAUGAAAUUCUACAAGUUAAAGAUUGUGAUGAGACUUGGGUUAACAAUAAUUACUUGCAAUCCUACAUGGCAUGAACCACCAUCACAAGUUUCUAAUCUUUUGACUAUUGUUCAUUAGUUGUAA